rnacentral:rRNA from 1 species
AACGAACGCUGGCGGCGUGGAUAAGACAUGCAAGUCGGACGGGAUUUUCCGUUGUAGCAAUACGAUGGAAAGUCUAGUGGCGAACGGGUGCUUAACACGUGGGCAACCUGCCAGGAAAUGGGGGAUAGCUCGCCGAAAGGCGAAUUAAUACCGCAUGUGAUUAGAGAGGACAUCCUUUCGAAAUUAAAGUCGGGGCAACCUGACGCUUCUUGUGGGGCCCGCGGCCUAUCAGCUAGUUGGUGAGGUAAUGGCUCACCAGGGCUUUGACGGGUAGCUGGUCUGAGAGGACGACCAGCCACACUGGGACUGAGACACGGCCCAGACACCUACGGGUGGCAGCAGUCGAGAAUUUUUGACAAUGGGGGAAACCCUGAUCGAGCGACGCCGCGUGGAGGAUGAAGGUCUUCGGAUGUAAACUCCUGUCAUUGGGGAACAAGGUGCAUACGUUAACUGCGUGUGCAUUGAUAGUACCCGAAGAGGAAGAGACGGCUAACUCUGUGCCAGCAGCCGCAGUAACUC